rnacentral:rRNA from 1 species
AGCGAACGCUGGCGGCAGGCCUAACACAUGCAAGUCGAACGAACUCUUCGGAGUUAGUGGCGGACGGGUGAGUAACACGUGGGAACGUGCCUUUUGGUUCGGAAUAACUCAGGGAAACUUGUGCUAAUACCGAAUGUGCCCUUCGGGGGAAAGAUUUAUCGCCAUUAGAGCGGCCCGCGUCUGAUUAGCUAGUUGGUGAGGUAACGGCUCACCAAGGCGACGAUCAGUAGCUGGUCUGAGAGGAUGACCAGCCACACUGGGACUGAGACACGGCCCAGACUCCUUCGGGAGGCAGCAGUGGGGAAUCUUGCGCAAUGGGCGAAAGCCUGACGCAGCCAUGCCGCGUGAAUGAUGAAGGUCUUAGGAUUGUAAAAUUCUUUCACCGGGGACGAUAAUGACGGUACCCGGAGAAGAAGCCCCGGCUAACUUCGUG